rnacentral:rRNA from 1 species
AAGGGCGCGUAGGCGGAUUAUCAAGUCUCUUGUGAAAUCUAAUGGCUUAACCAUUAAACUGCUUGGGAAACUGAUAGUCUAGAGUGAGGGAGAGGCAGAUGGAAUUGGUGGUGUAGGGGUAAAAUCCGUAGAUAUCACCAAGAAUACCCAUUGCGAAGGCGAUCUGCUGGAACUCAACUGACGCUAAGGCGCGAAAGCGUGGGGAGCAAACAGGAUUAGAUACCCUGGUAGUCCACGCCCUAAACGAUGUACACUAGUUGUUGGGGUGCUAGUCAUCUCAGUAAUGCAGCUAACGCAUUAAGUGUACCGCCUGGGGAGUACGGUCGCAAGAUUAAAACUCAAAGGAAUAGACGGGGACCCGCACAAGCGGUGGAGCAUGUGGUUUAAUUCGAAGAUACGCGAAGAACCUUACCUGGGCUUGAUAUCCUAAGAACCUUAUAGAGAUAUGAGGGUGCUAGCUUGCUAGAACUUAGAGACAGGUGCUGCACGGCUGUCGUCAGCUCGUGUCGUGAGAUGUUGGGUUAAGUCCCGCAACGAGCGCAACCCACGUAUUUAGUUGCUAACGGUUCGGCCGAGCACUCUAAAUAGACUGCCUUCGUAAGGAGGAGGAAGGUGUGGACGACGUCAAGUCAUCAUGGCCCUUAUGCCCAGGGCGACACACGUGCUACAAUGGCAUAUACAAUGAGACGCAAUACCGCGAGGUGGAGCAAAUCUAUAAAAUAUGUCCCAGUUCGGAUUGUUCUCUGCAACUCGAGAGCAUGAAGCCGGAAUCGCUAGUAAUCGUAGAUCAGCCAUGCUACGGUGAAUACGUUCCCGGGUCUU